rnacentral:rRNA from 1 species
GAGUAACGCGUUGGUGACCUGCCCCAAAGUGUGGGAUAACAGUCCGAAAGGAUUGCUAAUACCGCAUGUGGUCAUCGGGAUUAGAUGCCCGAUGUCAAAAGGAGAAAUUCGCUUUGGGAGGGACCUGCGUCCCAUCAGCUAGUUGGUAGGGUAACGGCCUACCAAGGCGUCGACGGGUAGGGGACCUGAGAGGGUGGCCCCCCACAAUGGAACUGAAACACGGUCCAUACACCUACGGGUGGCAGCAGUAGGGAAUAUUGGUAAUCUGCGAAAGCGGGAACCAGCAACGCCGCGUGUGCGAUGAAGGCCUUCGGGUCGUAAAGCACUUUUUGAGGGGACGAGGAAGGACGGUACCCUCAGAAUAAGUCUCGGCUAAC